CAGCUCGUAAUGGACCGCUCGUCAUGCCUUCCCGUCAGCCAUCCCGCACGCACCAGUCGCCGCCCUGUUUCUUCUCCGCUGCCGCUACGCCGUCGGUAGGAGUCCCGGCGGCCUAACAACGGCCCGGCGACGCCCCUCCGUUCCGCGCCGGCAGCACCCUCCCAAUUUGGCGACCUCAUUUGGGGCGGGUUGCCGCCUGCCGGCAAUGGCGUCAGAUCCAGGUGGAAGCGGCGGCGGCCCGGCAACGACCUGGCUGGGGCCCCUUUCCUCUUCUCAACAUACCUCGUAUGGAGCGGCAGAUCCCGGCGGCAGGACAGCCAUGGUGAGGACCGACCCGCGCACGGGAGGCCAGGUCGUGCUGUCCCGCGGAUUAGGCUGUCAAGCGAUUCUGGUUUGCAGGGGAUGAAACCUUCUGGCAGGUUCUGGGCAUGAUGCGCUCACUUAAGCAGCCGGCAGGGUAGAUUUAAUAUCUGGCCUACCAGCUUCAACUGAAUGAGUUCAAUAUUUCGUGCAGCAUGCAGCAAACAAACACUCUGCAGCUGCCGGUGCAUUUGAAGAUGCCAACGACGUGCUGCAAACAGCGUCUCGUUGGACAAGGACUGGAACUGUUUCCCUGCUAUAUAUAUCACCACAUGAAUGAGGCAGGGAAAAUGGAAUGUGCUACAAAGAGCUUCAGCCUAGAGGAAAAGCAUAGCAGAAAACCUAUGUUUGUGUUACAUCAUUCUAAGGCAUUAUUGUACUUCCGUUAUAUUGACUUAAUAGUAAUCUGGCCAUCACAAUUUUAUAGUCACUUGAUCACGCCAUGUUGAUAAAUACCUUGUAUCGAUUGAUUCACUGUUAUGGUAAAACGAUGCUGCUGCAUUGUGGUAACCCAUCAUAUGAGUUCUGGUACAAUACUGAAUGCAGUGUAGUAAAUUGGAUUCCAGUAAACUGGGUAUUGUUUUGUA